UUGACGAGAGUCGGCCGGCCGCCGGUUAGCAGGUUCAGGCAACACGAAAAUCGCCGGGCUUUUCCCUGCGCUUUCUCCGGAAGCGAGGCACACGCUCGUUGUAGGACAUGCGUGGGAAUUGUAUGCGCAAACAAUUCAUCCGGCGUGUCGCCGACGGACCACGCGAGUAGGCGUCCGCGAAAGACGAGUGACCGGAAAACGCGUGCUUGUGCGGAGGCAGGAGAACAAGCGGGCACGCGAACUUAAAAACGAGCAAAAUACAUUUUAAGAGAGCAGUCAAGCCGGUUAUGAGAAGAAAUCUGUUGCGAACAGGCCUCGGACACGAUUCAUUGGAGACAUUACCAGCGUUACUUUGCAUGUUUCGUUCUGUUCGAGUGCCCUCUGAAUAAAAAUCAGACGAGUUACAGUUUCUCGGUCUCCUGUUUCAGGCCCUCGCGUCCCAAAGGAACUUUACGGCGUCAUUUUCAUUAAGACACAACUACGGGACAAAUAAUACUUUGUUCCCUCAAAGAAAAAAAAAAGAAACAAUACUCAAACUAUCACCCGCGAAGGGUUAAGAGAGCAAGCAAACAAAUUGAAACGCGUCGAAGUAGGAAGACCAAUCGCCACGCUAAUCGCGCGUGUACUGGAUGUCAGAGUAUUAGAAAAGGAAAUCAGUUAAUUACGGAACGAUUCGAAUGAGAAGUAGGCCAAAACCGAAGGACCAGUCCCUCGCCGCAGUCUCGAGCUUCUCGUUUCUUGGAGCCCGUUCUGCCAACGGAAUCGAACGAAUUCUCUCGGAUUUCCAAGCGGUUUCUUAGGCUCCGCUGGGCUGCUGCGACCUGAACGUUCGGAUAUCACCGGUGAGUGGACUCUUCUACGGUGACACGGGUCGGUCCAAGUAGGGUCUUGGUGAAGUAGUCGAACACAACUCCGUUGCAAAGUGAAAUGAAACGCGUACGGAAACGAAGUCGGGAAACCGGCGUGCGAGCGGAACGGAUGGCUGAACGGUCCUCUUUCUUUUUCACGUGGUUACGAACGGUGCGGUAUAUGUCACCGGACCGUUGGGUUUGCCGAGGGUCACGAACGAUGCUUGUUCAUUCUCUGUGUGUUUCUUUUUGCCUUUCUUUUGUUUUUGGUUUGAUUCGUUACGACACUUACGGACUAGGAAUCCCGUGGUUGGAUCGAAACUAGUGUCCAAUUUGUCUGAUAGACGCAAGAGAGGUUUUUUGACGAAGUACCCUCUUGGCUGAUCGCCGGCGCGAGUCGCGCGAUCUGACCUCCUCGUCCGUUCGACUGCGUCUGAAAGGACCGGCGCAAGUGUCAUCCGACCAUACGUUGCCGACGAGCCGGCACGGCGCGGCGCGCGUGCGCCACGCUCAGCCUCGUGCGUUUCACGUGAUUCGGACGGAUCCACGAAUCAGGGGGCCUCGGGGCCCACGUGUACGCAUUCUUACACGGUGCUGGCGACAAACUUGAUUCGUGGGCCAGAAGUUAAUAAGAAUCGGGAAAAGGGAACGACAGCCGAUCGUUGACCGACCACCGGUUUUUACCUGAAUUUUUACUGCAAAACCCUCUAUCCAGAUACCCCAACGAACGGAACACGAAGAAAGUUGAUUGCCGCAUGACUCCCUCUCGGCCCGUUACCUCCUGAACGCACUUUAAAGCACCGCUUUCAUCGGACCGCUCCGCUCGGGCAUAGAUAUCGGGCUAGGAUUUUUCAGGGGAUCCGAUUCAAAUCACGUUUCGACGCCGCUUACGCGUCGACGCGUAGGUACGCUGCCGUACGAAAAUUGCGUAUCUAAGCUAUCAUGUAAACAGUGUGUUGAAGUAGGUAUCUAGAGUAAAGAUAGCAGCAAUAAAAAUGACAUAACUCGGGGUAUGAGGGUUAAACGCGAAAGCGUGAUUCUUAUUGGCAAUCAUUUUGUAAAAACACGCUUACGAAUCGCUGAUAUAGUAAAUACGUAACGAGGACCGUUCUUAUCUUAUUGAAAAUUAUAUGAUAAUCCAAAGAUGCAAGUAACGCGUAUGCGGCGGAGGAGAUGUAUGUAUUUCUUUUGCAAACGCUGACCUAUGAUAGAAUCGAGAAUUUCUAUUUAUAGAAUUGCCCAAGGGUAGACGAAAUUAAUAUUUAAUAUAGAAUCUGCCGUUUAUUUUCGAACUAGUCUCUACCGGUUCUACUCUGUAGAAAAACAUUUAAUUCGCGACACGCGCGAAAUGUGACCAACGAAACCGAGGAACAUCGUUCCCCUGUUGUUAAACAAAUAGAUGCGAUUAUGAAUCGCAUUGGUUUCGGAAACAGCCCUUUUCCUUGUAUGAAUCAGAGCAAACACGAAUGAGUAUUCAAGGGAUUCACGCAGCGGGGUGCAACCGUUAAGAUUGUCCGUUCCUAACGCCUGUUUAGAGGGACAAUGAGUCACUGGAACUGAAAGUGAAAUGAUUCGAAUCGUCGAAAGAGAGAGAGAGAGAGAGAGUAAUUUAUAAUGUUUGUCGCCGGAUCCGUAAAUUCGUGUUAAUCGGUACUUUAUAUAUGAAACAGUGUUGCGCCACAAAAGUAAUGUUCGCCGAUAAGAAUUUGUAAACAGAGUUGGUCUACGACCGUAGAAAGAAAUUUGUUCGCUGGGUAGCCGCUCUAUUGCCGGGCACGGAUUAGACGGCGCAGGUAUAAACGAGCCCUCUCGGGGUAACACGACACGCCGCCAUGUUAGCUCGGACGCAAAGACGUCUAUUAUAUUCUAACGUGCUCCGUUAAGUCCAUUGUCGCGCCGCGAGAGAGAGAUUACAAACGCCUAAAACCCGAUACCUCUUGCUCGGGAAGCUCGAAACUGUGAAGACAUACUCGCCGCGAAGGACAAUGUCGACUCCCGGUAAUUUUUCCGCCGUUCAAACAAACAAACCGCCGCUGCGAGCCGUUUCGUCUCCCGUCUGGCAAUCGUUAUCGCGCGAUUUUAUUGAAACACCGAUUUUUACGAGAAGUUAAUCGCGAGGCGAGGAUACGGCAAAAUAAAAUGUACGAUGGACGUAACGAUAAAAAGAAUCUUCUUUCUUUUUUUUUGUUUUCUUCCUUUCUU